rnacentral:rRNA from 1 species
UUGAAAUAUAUUAAUUUAAAACUUAGGUAGUAUUAGUUAUGUUCUUUAAACUUAAAAAAUUUGGCGGUAUUUUAGUCUAUUCAGAGGAACUUGUUUUUUAAUCGAUAAUUCACGAUGAACCUUACUUAAUUUUGUUGUCUGUUUAUAUACCGUCGUUAUUAGAAUAUUUUAUAAGAAAGUUAAUUUUCUUAAAUUUUUAUAAAAAUUUAUAUCAGAUCAAGGUGUAGCUUAUAUUUAAGUUUUAAUGAGUUACAAUAAAAAUAUUUAAACGAAUAUAAAUUUGAAAUGUUUAUUAAAGGUGGAUUUGAUAGUAAAAUUAUAAAGAUUAAUAAUUUGAUUUUAGCUCUAAAAUAUGC